rnacentral:rRNA from 1 species
AGUAGAACGCUGAAGGAGGAGCUUGCUUCUCUGGAUGAGUUGCGAACGGGUGAGUAACGCGUAGGUAACCUGCCUGGUAGCGGGGGAUAACUAUUGGAAACGAUAGCUAAUACCGCAUAAGAGUAGAUGUUGCAUGACAUUUACUUAAAAGGUGCAAUUGCAUCACUACCAGAUGGACCUGCGUUGUAUUAGCUAGUUGGUGGGGUAACGGCUCACCAAGGCGACGAUACAUAGCCGACCUGAGAGGGUGAUCGGCCACACUGGGACUGAGACACGGCCCAGACUCCUACGGGAGGCAGCAGUAGGGAAUCUUCGGCAAUGGACGGAAGUCUGACCGAGCAACGCCGCGUGAGUGAAGAAGGUUUUCGGAUCGUAAAGCUCUGUUGUAAGAGAAGAACGAGUGUGAGAGUGGAAAGUUCACACUGUGACGGAAUCUUACCAGAAAGGGACGGCUAACUACGUGCCAGCAGCCGCGGUAAUACGUAGGUCCCGAGCGUUGUCCGGAUUUAUUGGGCGUAAAGCGAGCGCAGGCGGUUAGAUAAGUCUGAAGUUAAAGGCUGUGGCUUAACCAUAGUACGCUUUGGAAACUGUUUAACUUGAGUGCAAGAGGGGAGAGUGGAAUUCCAUGUGUAGCGG